AACGCGAAGAACCUUACCAAGGUUUGACAUGCAGGGAAAAGCCUCAGAGAUGGGGUGUCCGUAAGGGCCCUGCACAGGUGGUGCAUGGCUGUCGUCAGCUCGUGUCGUGAGAUGUUGGGUUAAGUCCCGCAACGAGCGCAACCCUCGUUCUAUGUUGCCAGCGGAUAAUGCCGGGGACUCAUAGGAGACUGCCGGGGUCAACUCGGAGGAAGGUGGGGAUGACGUCAAGUCAUCAUGCCCCUUAUGUCUUGGGCUGCAAACAUGCUACAAUGGCCGGUACAGAGGGCUGCGAAACCGCAAGGUUGAGCGAAUCUCAAAAAGCCGGUCUCAGUUCGGAUUGGGGUCUGCAACUCGACCCCAUGAAGUCGGAGUCGCUAGUAAUCGCAGAUCAGCAACGCUGCGGUGAAUACGUUCCCGGGCCUUGUA
rnacentral:rRNA from 1 species